GAUUGAGGCAGGAAAUAAAGUGCAAAAAGGAGGUUUGGACCAGCUUGUGAUGGGUCUUGUAUGCCAAGCUAAGGAAUUUGGAUUACAUAUUGCAGGUCAUGGAAGUCAACAGAGAUUGCUUUGCAUUGGAGACUGUCAGAAUCAGUUUGGGCUGGAAAGAACAUUCUGCAACAAUGUGAGGAAAGAUUAGAUUGGAAAGAAAACUGGUAAUAGGAGCACUAGGGAUAGGCUGAGUUCAGUGCAAAAGAAAAGGAGGACUGAAAGCUUUGGCAGUCUCUGAGGAUGGGAAGAAAGAAGACAAUUUGAUUGGCAAGAAUGACAAUAUUUAAUGAAACGAUGAAAGCAAGAGCAGGAUGAAGAAGAAAGAAGAUAGGGAAUAUAAUUUUUAAAAGAAGGUUGGGUGUGAAAAUUAGAUGGCCUGGAAAGUAACUUGAAGAAAGGUUAGAAUCAAACAACUUUUUAAAGGUCUUCCACUAUAGGAAAUGGGAAUUUAAAG
rnacentral:lncRNA from 1 species